CCUACGGGUGGCAGCAGUGGGGAAUAUUGGACAAUAGGCGAAAGCCUGAUCCAGCCAUGCCGCGUGUGUGAAGAAGGCCUUCGGGUUGUAAAGCACUUUCAGUGGGGAAGAAAGCCUUGGGGCUAAUACCCUCGAGGAAGGACAUCACCCACAGAAGAAGCACCGGCUAACUCCGUGCCAGCAGCCGCGGUAAUACGGAGGGUGCGAGCGUUAAUCGGAAUUACUGGGCGUAAAGCGCGCGUAGGCGGUCUGAUAAGCCGGUUGUGAAAGCCCCGGGCUCAACCUGGGAACGGCAUCCGGAACUGUCAGGCUAGAGUGCAGGAGAGGAAGGUAGAAUUCCCGGUGUAGCGGUGAAAUGCGUAGAGAUCGGGAGGAAUACCAGUGGCGAAGGCGGCCUUCUGGACUGACACUGACGCUGAGGUGCGAAAGCGUGGGUAGCAAACAGGAUUAGAUACCCCAGUAGUC
rnacentral:rRNA from 1 species